rnacentral:lncRNA from 1 species
GGAGGAGGGAGAAGGGAUAAUGAAGGCGGAGGAAGGAGAGGGGUGGUGAAGGUGGAGGAGGGAGAGGGAGGUAGAGGAGGGAGAGGGGCGAUGGAGAAGGUAGGGGGGUGGUGGAGGAAGGCGGCAGUGGUGUUCCUAACCCUUGAUCUUGGCUUGUUAAUCCUUUCUGAGCUUCCCUUUAGCGGGGGGAUGAGGAUGGUCGGCUGUUUCCACAGUUAAGGGCAGAGGUGGGUGAAGGGUGGUGUUAGUGUUCGAGGGUCACGCGCGAGUGGCUUUGCCGCGGUGGUGGCAGCGGUGGCAGAGGCGACACCGCUGGAGGCGGCGGAGGGACGGGCCCACCAACGCUGCAGGCCGAGACUGGAGUUUCAUCAGAUUGCCCAAG